UAGAGUUUGAUCAUGGCUCAGAUUGAACGCUGGCGGCAGGCUUAACACAUGCAAGUCGAGCGGAAACGAUGGGAGCUUGCUCCCAGGCGUCGAGCGGCGGACGGGUGAGUAACGCGUAGGAAUCUGCCCAGUAGAGGGGGAUAGCCCGAGGAAACUCGGAUUAAUACCGCAUACGCCCUACGGGGGAAAGGCCGGGAUCUUCGGACCGGUCACUAUUGGAUGAGCCUGCGUUGGAUUAGCUAGUUGGUGGGGUAAAGGCCUACCAAGGCGACGAUCCAUAGCUGGUCUGAGAGGAUGAUCAGCCACACUGGGGCUGAGACACGGCCCAGACUCCUACGGGAGGCAGCAGUGGGGAAUAUUGGACAAUGGGCGCAAGCCUGAUCCAGCCAUGCCGCGUGUGUGAAGAAGGCUCUAGGGUUGUAAAGCACUUUCAGUAGGGAGGAAGGCCAAAAAGUUAAUAGCUUUUUGGAUUGACGUUACCUACAGAAGCAGCACCGGCUAACUCCGUGCCAGCAGCCGCGGUAAUACGGAGGGUGCAAGCGUUAAUCGGAAUUACUGGGCGUAAAGCGCGCGUAGGCGGUUUGGUAAGUGUGAUGUGAAAGCCCAGGGCUCAACCUUGGAACUGCAUCACAUACUGCCAGGCUAGAGUACUGUAGAGGGGGGUAGAAUUUCA
rnacentral:rRNA from 1 species